rnacentral:rRNA from 1 species
GAMAKYUMCCKRGGKRYCCCUYUUCCRGYCCUKUUYUSCCYGCUCGCCCCSSCYGMMAGGWGUGAUGKAUAUYKUUYYSWWGRACCCUUAGAGUUUGAUCCUGGCUCAGAACGAACGCUGGCGGCGUGCUUAACACAUGCAAGUCGAACGUGAUCCAGAGCUUGCUCUGGUGAAAGUGGCGCACGGGUGAGUAACGCGUGGAUAACCUGCCCUGGUAUCUGGGAUAACAUCUCGAAAGGGGUGCUAAUACCGGAUAAGCCUACGGGCUCUUCGGAGUCUGCAGGAAAAGGAGGCCUCUAUUUAUAAGCUUCCGUAUCAUGAUGGGUCCGCGUACCAUUAGCUAGUUGGUGGGGUAAUGGCCUACCAAGGCGACGAUGGUUAGCUGGUCUGAGAGGAUGAUCAGCCACACUGGAACUGAGACACGGUCCAGACUCCUACGGGAGGCAGCAGUGGGGAAUUUUGCGCAAUGGGGGAAACCCUGACGCAGCAACGCCGCGUGAGUGAUGAAGGCUUUCGGGUCGUAAAGCUCUGUCAGAGGGGAAGAAAUGAGACUGGCUAAUAUCCAGUUUUCUUGACGGUACCCUCAAAGGAAGCACCGGCUAACUCCGUGCCAGCAGCCGCGGUAAUAC